CAUGUUUUAUCAAGGGAAAUUUGGCAACUCUCAAAUAUUCAUACGGCGUUCUUCCUUAGCACGGCAGUGCUGCGGGGAUACUUCUCAUUGACUACUGAAAAAGUUAACUAAAAGGAAACAUGUUAAAUUAACAGCAUAACCAGAAAAAUGUUGAAUUGAAGAAUGAACCGCGCGUUUAGAAUUACACGAGCAAUGUCGCCGUUACUUUGAUUUUAAAGAAAGAAAGCAGCAAAAAUUACAUUGGGAUACAAGGAUAUGUAAUUGAUUUUGUCUUUGAAAUAAUUAAAUUACCUUAGAUUGUGCUUUGAAUUGAAACAAGGCCGAACGUACUUACAAUUUUGUGCUCGAGUGUUCGUUCUAAUGAAGUGUCAUCAAUGGAGAAAAUUUUAUCGGAAUAAAAUUGUGUCCUCGGAACACAAAGCAGUGCAUUUGAUGGCUGGAACUGGCUGGAACACGACUCACAAGUAUAAGGUAAGUUCAUACUUAUAACUUGUUAAACAGUCUAGGGAAAUAACAAGAGAUAGAAUUCAAAGCAGUAUAGAAGAGAAAUUACAGAGCAGAGGAUUUUAAUUAUCGAGAAAAGAAGGGUUUCCCUCACACUAGCUUUUCCGGUAAAUUCGUUAGUCUUAUGACAAUAAAAAAAAUGAGCCUUACAUGAUAAUAUAAAAAAUAGAGACAAGAAAGUGACGUAAUCGUAGCAACCCUUAAGACAGGAGGAUGGAAGAAUAUUUAAGCAAUGUGGCAACGCCGUUACUUCCCCGCCUCCCGCCACUGGCCACUCUGCAGUUUGCUGCGUGAGGAAAACAAAGGAAGAUGCCGUUGAGCAAGGGAAGAUUUGGAAAUUCCACCCCAAACCUACGCGGCCGAGGGCUCGCGGGGCUCGCGUUGGUCUGAUCUGAUCAGUCUAGGACUACGAUUAGUCUUACUGCCUGCGUAUCAUUAGCGUGUCGCCGCUCAGAUUUUUCUUCUGUGUUGCUUUAAAUUUUCUCGUUUUUUCCCUAGACCGUUUAACAAAUUAUCAGUAUGAUCUUACCUUAUACCUGUGAGUUGUGCUCCAGCCAUCAAAUGCACUGCUUUGUGUUCUGAAGAUACAUUUUUACUCCAAUAAUAUGGUCUCCAUCGUUGACACUUCAUUUGAACAAACACUCAAGCACAAAAUUUUAAAUUUUUCAGUUGUUGAUGGAAAGUAUCCCCGCGGCAGCUUUGCAACUCGGCGGCAAAGCUACGAGCCUCUCCCAUCAUGACUGUUUUGUGGUUUGCAUUCUUGACAGCGUGGGGGAGAUGGUUUGUAGCAAAAAUUUUCACCUUCAAACUACUUUUAUUAAAGGUACAUUCACGCUAUUACUGUAAUAGGGCGGAGGAUGAGCUUACUUCAAGAGGAAUUGGACGAAACUUCUGGUGAGCCUGUGUUUUUUUAACUUUUUCUAUCAUCAUAUGUUUUUUUUUUCCCCCUUCAUUUUUCUGUUGAAGAAAAACUGCAAAGCAGUGAGAAUGGA